rnacentral:rRNA from 1 species
UACGUAGGUCGCAAGCGUUAUCCGGAAUUAUUGGGCGUAAAGGGAGCGUAGGCGGUUUAAUAAGUCUGAUGUGAAAGCCAACGGCUCAACCGUUGAACUGCAUUGGAAACUAUUAAACUAGAAUAUAGGAGGGGAAACUGGAAUUCCAUGUGUAGCGGUGAAAUGCGUAGAUAUAUGGAGGAACACCAAUGGCGAAGGCAGGUUUCUGGACUAUAAUUGACGCUGAGGCUCGAAAGCGUGGGUAGCAAACAGG